rnacentral:misc_RNA from 1 species
AAAAAAAAAAAAAAGGAAGAGGGAUGGGUGUUUGGUGGGGAGGGGGUUGAUUAGGAGGGGGGCAGCAAAUUUUGAAGUCCAAAGUCUUGAAUUGCCAGCUGUAGUGCAAUAAUGAUGUUAUUUUAAAUUUAGCCCGUCUAUUAUUUUGUACAAAUUGGUUGAACUUUCACAAUUAUUUGGGGGAUUUCUUAUCGAAGAAAUUGAGAAAAAUGUAAAGAUGCUGAAGUUGCCAAAAUACUGGAGAAGUUUCCAUAAUUGGUUUCCCAACAGCUUACUCUGUCACUCUUUAUCUCUUUUUCUCUUCCUCUGCAUCAUCCUCUUCUUUUAUGGAUCUAACUUCAUUUUAGGUUUGCUUACUUUUGACUUAUUCCCAUUUAAUUAUGAAUUCAGUUAUGAGCUCAAACUUGGAAUUACAGCUUUAUUAGUAUUUUUCUUUUUGGUGCAUUCACAAGGCAAAAGGUGCCUGUGUGCUUUAUAGUUACUCAAAAAUUAACUUGUUCAUGAUACUUGUAGGACUUCCUGGGAUGGGAAAAUAACCAAAAUUUUCUUUUUUACACCUGCCUAAUAUGUAAAAUAACAGAACAUGAAACUUCAGAGCUGCUCUUGGAAAACCCUGGGAUACUUUAUAAGGACUAUUUCUACGUAAUUAAUAUGUUAAUAUGAAAAUUUAUUUAAUUUUUGUUGUGUUCCUGUGUUUUUAUUAUGCUUUUCACUUUUAUAAAAAAAAAAUUAUGUAUCUAAAGCCCUUUUUGUAAAUUCAGUUAUUAAAAUUUAUUGCAGUUUCCCUUAUUCUCUUUGUUUCGAUUUCCUCUGAGUUAAUGUAGCAUGUUUUGAUUGCUAAUUGAUGUGAAACAUGGUCCAAAUUUGACUUAACUCUGAUGUUCUUUUAAGUAUAUUUAGGCAAGUUUCUACCCCUUUUUGGCUGUUUAUUAUGUCUGCUUCUGUUACCUAUAUUGGCAUCAUUAUUUCUCACUAUGUUAAGUAAUGUGAUUCUAAAAUGGUAGAUGGAGUUGAAGCUACAUUUAAAAAAAAAAAUGUAUGGAUGAGCUGCAUGAUAGGGUAGUUCUCUCAUCUUUCUUAAACCCAUUGCUAGAGCAAACAGGAUUGAGUCUUAGAUCUCAUGAACGACUCUGAAAUAAUAAAGGGGGUGUUGACGAGCAAAUAAGAAAAUACAAGAUUACUGAGGUUCUCAUGUGCUGCAACAAGUAGAGAAGUGGUUGAUCAUAUUUAGAGAGGGAUGACACCAUUUAGUCUGAUCAUUUUUUAGUACGAGGACCAAACCUAGUUUGGGUGAAGACUUGCUGUAAUAUUUUCAAUAGUUUGACCUCAAGACUCCUGCACAUCUUAGCUCUGUUUAUUUCUCAAAUCACAUUUUCCUAGCGAGAACUUCUAAAUUUCUUAGUGCAUGGAUGCCUGGUAUGGACAUUAUUCAUUGAUUCUUUCAUCUUGAUUUGCCAUGUUUUAGCUCACUUGGUGAUUAUAAAUGUUGGUGCAAAAUUUAUCAAUGGAGGCUAUAAUAUUUGGUCUGUACUGUUGGCCAUUUGGGAAGUCUUAUUUAGUUGCUUUUCUUAGAAGAAAAAAAAAAUGUUAAAUUGUGUUGAACACCAGUAUUUUCAACCUUUUAGCUGUAACUUCGAAUGUAAGAAAACUAAUAUGGUUCCUCUGAAAGUGAACAGAUGAGUCAUAGUGUCUGAUUAUGAUUGAAAGAAGACAUCAUUUUUCAUUUACUCUUUGCAUAUGUAACAUUAAAACGGGUAAAAAAGUUUGGCACCAAAAAAAGGUAAGAGAUCAUAAGACCAUGAUAUGUCAUGCUUUAGUUGGUGCAAAAAUUCGUGCUUAGUUUUACUUGGGACGGAUUGGUUCUUGGUAGUAAUUUGAGCAAGUUCUCUCUUUCUAGUUCUGA